CAGCAGCCGCGGGAAUACAGAGGGUGCGAGCGUUAAUCGGAUUUACUGGGCGUAAAGCGUGCGUAGGCGGCUUUUUAAGUCGGAUGUGAAAUCCCUGAGCUUAACUUAGGAAUUGCAUUCGAUACUGGGAAGCUAGAGUAUGGGAGAGGAUGGUAGAAUUCCAGGUGUAGCGGUGAAAUGCGUAGAGAUCUGGAGGAAUACCGAUGGCGAAGGCAGCCAUCUGGCCUAAUACUGACGCUGAGGUACGAAAGCAUGGGGAGCAAACAGGAUUAGAUACCCCGGUAGUCCCUGUCCUUAUACA
rnacentral:rRNA from 1 species